rnacentral:misc_RNA from 1 species
CUCUUUACGCACUUUACGCAAGGACGUUUCUAAUUAUUAAAAUUGACAAAUUCAUUAUUUCUAAAUGCAUCAUUGCCUGAAAAUAAUGAACAUAAGCGUUAUUUCCUAUUCAAUAUCGUAUACUGUCUAUAAUUUGAUCGGAAAUAUAGUUUUGACUAGUCAUUAACAUUAAUUCCCUAAUUUACGUCUUUGCCUGUAACAUACCGGGACAUAUGAAUGGUUGAGAAAGCAUUAUUAUGACAAGCACUACCUUUGCGAAGAGGGAAAUUGUGUCAAUGAACAAUAUACAUCAGUUUUUCGUACGUCAAUAGAUUUACAAGCUCAUAAAGCGCAAACACACAGCAGAGAUUUGGGAAAACAAGGAUAUAAAGAAGCGCGUACCUUAAAACUUGAGUUUACCUUACGACCGCGACACAAUCCGACCGUUGAAGCGGGCAGACCAAACCAAUACCAACCACCCCGACCCCGCCAACCACCAUCUGAUUAUUCUUACAACAAUAGCUACAACAACAUCAACAACUAUUCCGGCGGGCCCGAGUCAUCCGCGUCGACCUCAUCGGAUCGCGCGAUCAACGUGCGUAACACCGCAGAUUUCCCGUCGUUGAAUGGUCAGCACACGACGGUGUUGCCAUGUGCCCGCACCAGGAAGCAAAACCAAUCGGUCAACACGCGAGAUUUACAUUCGUUUCCGGCCUUGGGACAGGACCCGCAGCCGUCGGUGGCGCCCAAGCCUCAGAAACCACCGGUGAACAGCAUCCGAAUGGCCGCGGUGCUAAAGAAACCAGCGGAACCCCCUAAACCAGAUCGAAACAAAGACGCCAAGGUACCUUCAGGUCCACGGUUGCCCAACCAAGCCAGGGACUUUCCGUCGCUAGACGGCAACCAAAACCACCAGCAGCAGCAGCAGCAGCAGCAACAAAACCAGCAACACCCCAGGUUGGCUGCCAACAAGGAGAUGGUGGUGGCCAGCGGUUCGAGCGGUGGCAGUUGGGUGUCUAAAGCCAAGACGGGAAACGAGGGUGAGAAAAAAAAGGUUAAAAAAGAACCAGCGGCCAUCAAGAAGAAAAUAGCAGAGGCGCCCAAGGUCCCUGGCCCGUCGGACUUUCCAAAUUUGAACAAAAAAUAUGAACCGUCCAAGAGCAACCUGGCAAAGUUGGGCGGCAACAAGAAGAAAUCGGAAAACUCAAAGAAAACCGCGCCAGCAGAAACCAACGUCAACGGCAAUGGCGGCAGUGGUACUGUUCAAAACGGGAAAAAGAACCUUCCAACCGUGGACAGCAACAGCAGCAAUAAGGAAAACUGCAACAAGCCCAACACGAAAACCGUCGACGCGGUGCAGGUGUGCAACGGGGAAAUCAAGACGGCUACUUCGACGAAUAAUAAGGCGGUCGCCGGCAAGACUGAAGUGAUAAAGCCCGCCGCCUCAGCCCCGGUAGAGGUGCCGAAGAGAGAGCAGUCCAAGAAGAAAGAGUCUGCUGCGGUCGGUCGAACGGCGGCUCAACCCGACGAAGAAUCCGUGACGGACGCCAACAACCCAAAGGACAAGAAGAAGAGGAAAAAGAAUGAAAAUCGAGGAGAACAACAACAACAACAACAACAACCUACCUCAACCAGGCACCAACAGCAGGAAAAUCAUCACCAGCAACAGCUGCAGAACAAUUAUAUCAAAACGGCGACGCCAAAAAUACCGCCGGGCUUCGAGAACGCGUACCAGCAGCCGCCACAACAGGUCAGAGCCCCUCCCGGGCUGUCUGGUAACCGUGGACCGUCGCCCGCAGCGCAGAACCAUCACCGGGUCAAAGCGCCGCCCGGUCUGUCGUUGGCGGACAGCGGAGGCGACGGCGGUAAACCGUUCGAGUACUUGCAUCCGGUCGACUCGUCCGUCCGGAACAAAGUGCUCAUCAAUAACCUGAUGGCCGCGCUCAUACCUGCCCACGACGAACGUUUUGACACUUUCGAGAAGUUUAAAGAGAUGUCAACGCUGUUCCGCAAACAUGUCAUCACCGCGUUCGAUUUCUAUUCGUAUUGUGUUGAAGCACUGGCCCCGCACAGCUUUGAUUCCGUAUUCCAGGAACUCGUGUUGUUGUUGCCCGACAUCCAAAAGCAGCGGACAUUUGAAUUUCAAAUUUGGACUAAAUUAUAGACAUUUUAUCAAAGAAUAAUGAUUUUAGUUAUUUUGUUGUAAUUCAAAAAUACUAAUCGCGGUGACUUAAAAAUUGAAUUGCUGUUCAUCUACAACCGGAACAGCAGACACGAAAUGAACGUAGAAGUGUGCAAACACUGUCGCCAAGUGUUGAGGCCUAGUGACUUGGAAUCGCACCAGUCCGUUCA